GACGAGGGGUCCUAGCGUUGUUCGGAAUCAUUGGGCGUAAAGCGCAUGUAGGCGGCCUAGCAAGUCGGAUGUGAAAGCCCCGGGCUUAACCCGGGAAGUGCACUCGAUACUGCUGGGCUUGAAUAUGGGAGAGGAUAGUGGAAUUCCUGGUGUAGUGGUGAAAUGCGUAGAUAUCAGGAGGAACACCGGUGGUGUAGACGGCUUUCUGGACCGUAACUGACGCUGAGGCACGAAAGCGUGGGUAGCAAACAGG
rnacentral:rRNA from 1 species